rnacentral:rRNA from 1 species
AUUGAACGCUGGCGGCAUGCUUAACACAUUCAAGUCGAACGAGUGGCGGACGGGUGAGUAAUGCUUGGGAAUCUAGCUUAUGGAGGUGGAUAACUACGGGCAACUGUAGCUAAUACCGCGUAACAUAGGAUGAGCCCAAGUGGGAUUAGGUAGUUGGUGAGGUAAAGGCUCACCAAGCAGAUGAUCUCUAGCUGCUCUGAGAGGAUGACAAUACACACUGGGACUGAGUGACUGCCCAGACUCCUACGGGAGGAAGCAGUGGGAAAUAUUGCGCAAUGGGGGAAACCUGACGCAGCCAUGCCCCGUGAAGGAAGAGGGCCUUCGGGUUGUAAAGUUUGUUCGUUAGCGAGGCGUUAACUACAGAAGAAGCAACGGCUAACUCCGUGCCAGCAGCCGCGGUAAUAC